rnacentral:misc_RNA from 1 species
CUUGGUCUGCCCUUCGACCUCGGCGACGUCGUUCACCGAGAUCUUGUUCUCGACGAGCUUGAGGCCCGGGGCCUUGAAGAGUUCCUUGAUGAACAGGUUGCCCUCGGCGCUCGACAGGCCCACCAUGUUGAGCAAAUCCUUGGGGCCGAAGUUGAACACGUAGGGUGAGCCG